UGGCAAUCAGAAAGAUACGACAUCAGACUGUGUUACUGCAUGUGAUCAGUGAUAGGCACGCAGGUCCAAUCUGAACACCACACAAAGUGAAUGCAAAGAUUGGCAAUUGUCACAGUAGUCAGAGAAUCAUUGAGUGAAUCGUUGUAUUUAUUCUUACUUCUAAAGCUCCGUUACAUGUACUCUGAACAAUUUUACGAAGCAAUGGAGCCAAUUCGAUCUUCUGUUUUCAUGCCUUCGUAAUUGGCAUUCAGUUUCCGAGGUGUGUGCGUGUUUUUGUGUGUACAUUAUAUGCUGGGUGACUGUAUAAGUACACAUCUGCAAUCGAUCCGUGUAGACAGAAUGCUAAAUCUGUUGUUGAUGUGACAAUGCAGGUCUCAUUACCAUGUCUUUACUUGGCGCCUGUUCGGCGUACCCAAAUGCCAUCUGGGGUGGAUUCGAGGUCUCAGCGUGCCACAGAGAAUAUUCAUUCUCCCCGACCCUUCACUCCACCGGAUCUGUCCUCCAUCCCCAACAUGGACGGAACCCCUCACCAACCAUUGAGCACUAACAACGCAUUGGAUUCGAAUGAUAACAAUGGAUUACCCGGACCUUACAUCGUCGGCAGUCCCAUCGAUCUGGGACAAAUAGAUAAUGUUGACAACAUUGGCUCCCACCUCCAAGAUUUCGCUCCACCUUGGUGCGGCAAACGCACGAAUGACGAUCACAUAGAACUUAGGGAAACCGGAACUUCAGGGUCAGGGGACGCAGAUACGGUAAAUGUGGGGAACCACCCUUUACCGCCAGAUGACCAAGAGGAAAGAGUUGUUUUCAUAAACCUGCCUUCUCAGCAACCAGCAAAAUACAAAACCAAUCACAUUACCACCGCAAAGUAUUCUGUAUUUUCAUUCAUCCCUUCGUUUUUGUUUGAACAAUUUCGAAGGUAUAGUAACUGCUUUUUUCUCUUCAUCGCGCUAAUGCAGCAAAUACCUGAUGUCUCACCCACGGGACGCUACACCACACUAGUGCCACUAAUAUUCAUCCUCAGCGUAUCUGCGCUCAAAGAAAUCGUUGAAGAUAUUAAAAGGCACAGAGCUGAUGAUGAAAUAAACAAACGUGAAGUGGAAGUUCUUAGAAAUGGUAAAUGGGAAUGGGUUCAAUGGCAGGCUGUGGCUGUUGGCGACGUAGUUAAGGUUCAUAAUAAUAAAUUUUUUCCUGCCGAUUUGAUUAUGCUGUCUUCGUCCGAGCCACAGGGUAUGUCAUUUAUUGAAACUGCAAAUUUGGAUGGUGAAACAAACUUAAAAAUUAGACAAGCUGUGCCCGAAACCGCCAAGUUGUUGGAUACAAAAGAGUUGACAAAAUUUAUAGCAAGCAUACAAUGCGAGCCACCUAAUAGACAUUUAUAUGAAUUUUUUGGAGUUCUACGAGAAGUCAACAAACAAAGCAUACCGUUGGGUCCUGAUCAGUUACUUCUACGUGGUGCAAUGUUACGGAACACUCGUUGGGUGUUCGGGGUUGUAAUAUACACAGGCCAUGAUACAAAACUGAUGUGCAAUAGCACCAGUGCUGCACCCCUGAAACGAUCAACUCUUGACCGCCUAACAAAUACCCAGAUUCUGAUGCUGUUUUUCAUACUUCUGAUGCUGUGUUUGAUAUCGGCUAUAUUUAAUGUUAUUUGGACACAUGCUCAUGAGCAGGAUUUAUGGUAUUUAGGUUUGCAUGAAGCAAUGACCAAGAACUUUGGUUAUAACUUAUUAACUUUCAUUAUAUUAUUCAAUAAUUUAAUACCGAUAUCGUUGCAAGUUACGUUGGAGGUAGUACGAUACGUUCAAGCAACUUUCAUCAAUAUGGACGUGGAAAUGUAUCAUGCAGAAACAAACACUCCUGCAAUGGCACGUACCAGUAACCUCAAUGAAGAACUUGGAAUGGUCCGUUACGUUUUCACAGAUAAAACCGGGACCUUAACUCGGAAUGUGAUGGAAUUUAAACGGUGUUCAGUCGGUGGAAAGCUGUAUGACCUGCCAACAUUGACAGGAAACAAUGAUGGUCUGAAAAGAAUAAAUGCAGAUAUGAGCUGUUCGUUAGUUAAAGAUAUAAUGGAUGGUAGAAUCAAAGCAGAUAAUCCGUCAAAUGAUGAUUUGGCUAAACAAACUUCUGCUAAAAUUUUACACGAAUUUAUGGUCAUGUUAUCUGUUUGUCACACAGUUAUACCUGAGAAACUUGAUGAACAAAUUGUUUAUCAUGCUGCAUCACCUGAUGAAAGAGCUCUUGUGGACGGAGCAAGGCAAUUUGGUUACGUAUUUAAUACACGAACACCUAGUUCGGUAGAGAUAACUGCAUUAGGUGAAUGCCAACGUUACGAGAUUUUGAACGUCAUUGAAUUCACUUCUGCCCGCAAAAGAAUGUCUGUUAUUGUACGAACACCAGAUGGACAGAUAAAGUUAUUCUGUAAAGGAGCUGAUUCAAUCAUUUACGAGAGGCUCGCUAGUAAAACAACCAACAACCAUGAAGAUGGCGUAGAUUUUAGCGAAAUUACACUAAACCACUUGGAAGCUUUUGCGACUGAAGGAUUGAGGACACUUUGCUUCGCUGUCGCUGAUAUACCUGAAUCACUUUAUCAAAGGUGGCGAGAGACUUACCACAAAGCGGCGACCAGUAUGGAAGAUCGUGAAAAUAAAUUAGAGUAUGCCGCCAACCUCAUAGAAAAUAAUUUAUCACUGUUAGGAGCCACUGCAAUUGAGGAUAAACUCCAGGAUCAGGUACCAGAGACUAUAGAAUCUUUAAUACAAGCUGAUAUCAACGUAUGGGUUUUAACUGGCGAUAAACAAGAAACAGCAAUAAACAUUGGAUAUUCGUGCAAACUCAUUACGCAUCCAAUGCCUCUAAUUAUAGUCAACGAAAAUUCUCUGGAUAAAACGAGAGCAGUAAUCAGACAACACUGUACCGACUUUGGACAAGAAUUAAGAUGCACAAAUGACGUAGCUCUAGUAAUUGAUGGAAACAGUUUGAAGUAUGCUUUGCUGUGUGAUUUGCGGCAGGAUUUCCUCGAUUUAUGUACAUCCUGCAAAGUUGUUAUUUGCUGCAGAGUAUCUCCUAUGCAGAAAGCAGAGGUUGUAGAUUUGGUCACUACUUGUACAAAGGCAGUCACUCUUGCAAUUGGCGAUGGUGCAAAUGAUGUAGCCAUGAUUCAGAAAGCUCACGUUGGAGUUGGAAUAUCAGGAGUGGAAGGACUUCAGGCAGCUUGUGCUUCGGAUUACUCGAUAGCGCAGUUUAAAUUUUUAAAACGAUUGCUAUUUGUACACGGUGCCUGGAAUUACAGUAGAAUGUGCAAAUUAAUUUUAUAUUCAUUUUACAAGAAUAUUUGCCUGUAUGUUAUCGAACUUUGGUUUGCCAUAUACUCAGGUUGGUCUGGUCAAAUCUUGUUCGAAAGAUGGUCCAUCGGUCUUUACAAUGUGUCUUGGACCCCAGAAUUCUUUCGUUUUUUCCUGACACCAUCUCGGAUCGUUUUCACACCUGGAUAAGGACUGUAUUUAUCAUAUUGGCUACUAAAGCAGCUGCUUACCUAUUUUGGAGGCCUCUUUAGUAUCUGUGAUUUACAGCGUAAUUUUUCAUCAAUAUUAAAUACUGUGUAUUUACAGCAGCACCGCCCUUGGCAAUGGGACUCUUUGAUAAGGUCUGUGCGGCUGAAACUCAUUUAGCACAUCCAAGAUUAUACCAUCCACCCAACUCUAUGGAC
rnacentral:misc_RNA from 1 species